GUGGGGAAUCUUGCGCAAUGGGCGAAAGCCUGACGCAGCCAUGCCGCGUGAAUGAUGAAGGUCUUAGGAUUGUAAAAUUCUUUCACCGGGGACGAUAAUGACGGUACCCGGAGAAGAAGCCCCGGCUAACUUCGUGCCAGCAGCCGCGGUAAUACGAAGGGGGCUAGCGUUGCUCGGAAUUACUGGGCGUAAAGGGCGCGUAGGCGGACAGUUUAGUACGAGGUGAAGGCCCAGGGCUCAACCUUGGAAUUGCCUUUGAUACUGGCUGUCUUGAGUACGGGAGAGGUGAGUGGAACUCCGAGUGUAGAGUUGAAAUACGUAGAUAUUCGGAAGAACACCAGUGGCGAAGGCGACUCACUGGCCCGUUACUGACGCUGAGGCGCGAAAGCGUGGGGAGCAAACAGGAUUAGAAACCCGUGUAGUCC
rnacentral:rRNA from 1 species